AAGGAUCAUUAUUGAAAUAAACCUGGCGGGUUGUUGCUGGUUCUCCAGGGAGCAUGUGCACACCUUGUCAUCUUUAUAUCUCCACCUGUGCACCUUUUGUAGACCCCUCCAGGUCUAUGUUGCUUCAUUUACCCCCAAUGUAUGUUGAUAGAAUGUCGUGUCUAUAAAAUCUAUACAACUUUCAGCAACGGAUCUCUUGGCUCUCGCAUCGAUGAAGAACGCAGCGAAAUGCGAUAAGUAAUGUGAAUUGCAGAAUUCAGUGAAUCAUCGAAUCUUUGAACGCACCUUGCGCUCCUUGGUAUUCCGAGGAGCAUGCCUGUUUGAGUGUCAUUAAUAUAUAUAUCAACCUCUCUCUUCUUGAGAGUGGCUUGGAUGUGGGGGGCUUGCUGGCCUUUUAAAAGGUUCAGCUCCUCUGAAAUGCAUUAGCAGAGUGGCCUGUGCAUUCAUUGGUGUGAUAAACUAUCUACGCUAUUGAGUGUGAGGUGGCUCAGCUUCCUAACAGUCUUUGGACAAUUUAAUCAUUUUAUGUGACCUCAAAUCAGGUAGGACUACCCGCUGAACUUAA
rnacentral:rRNA from 1 species